AAACAAUGUUGAAUCUGGCAAUGAAGCCCACUUUUUAAAAAAAUCUAGGCUCAUAGGCAGAAGAGACUUGCCUUAUCUCAGAUGAAACUUGAGACUUGGACUUUUGGGUUAAUACUGGAAUGAGUUAAGACUUUGGGUGACUGUUGGGAAGGCAUGAUUGGUUUUGAAACGUGAAAAGGGCAUGAGAUCUGGGAGAGGCUGGGGUGGAAUUAUAUGGUAUGGCUCUGGGUCUUCACCCAAAUCCCAUCUCAAAUAGUAAUCCCCGUAAUCCCCACUUGUUGGAGGAGGGACCAUGUGUGAGGCGAUUGGAUCAUGGGGGCAGUUUCCCCAUUCUGUUCUCAUGAUAGUGAGUGAGUUCUCAUGAGACCUGAUAGUUUUAUAACUGUUUGACAGUUUCUCCUUCACACAUUUUCUCUCACCUGCUGCCAUGUAAGACAUGCCUGCUUCUGCUUCUGCAAUGAUUGUAAGUUUCCUGAGGCCUCACCAGCCAUGUGGAACUGAGUCAAUUAAACCCUCCUUUCUCUAUAAAUUGCCCACUCUUGGGCAGUUAUUUAUAGUAGUGUGAUAAUGAACUAUCUCAUCUUCCUAUCACAAGAUGAGAUAGGAGGUCAGCACAAGACACUGGUCACAAAGACCUUGCUGAUAGAACAGGUUGUGGUAAAGAAGCUGGCCGAAACACGCCAAAACACACCAAAACCGAGAUGACAAUGAAAGUGACCUCUGGUCAUCCUCACUGCUCAUAUGCUAAUUACAAUGCAGUAGAAUGCUAAAAGACACUCCCAACAGCAACAUGAUAGUUUAUAAAUGCCAUGACAACUUCAGAAAGUUACCCUAUUGGGUCCAAAAAUGGGAGAAACCCUCAGUUCCAGGAUUUGCCCACAUCUUUCCUGGAAAACUCAUGAUAAACACCACUUGCUUAGGAUAUAAUCAAGAAAUGACUGUAAGUGUAAUCACAGUGAGCAGACCAAGCCACAGCUCUG
rnacentral:lncRNA from 10 species